AACCAUUCUCACCUGCGGCUAGACCUGCGGAAGGAUCAUUACUGAGUCACGUGCUCAAACAACCCUUCUGUGGACCUGAAAUAAAACCGUUGCCUCGGCGGGCGGUCCCCCCCAAACCAACCCCACGUGGUGGGUUAGGGGAGACCAGACAGUCCGGUACGCUUAAGGCGUCCGGCGCCAGCCGCUGGCCCCAAGCAAUUAAACUCUAGUAAUCUUUACCUUCUGAGUUUCAAUAUUUAA
rnacentral:misc_RNA from 1 species